CCUACGGGAGGCAGCAGUGGGGAAUCUUGCGCAAUGGGCGAAAGCCUGACGCAGCAACGCCGCGUGCGGGAAGAAGGCUUUCGGGCUGUAAACCGCUUUCAGCAGGAACGAAAAUGACGGUACCUGCAGAAGAAGGAGCGGCCAACUAUGUGCCAGCAGCCGCGGUGAUACAUAGGCUUCAAGCGUUGUCCGGAUUUAUUGGGCGUAAAGAGUUCGUAGGCGGUCAAGUAAGUCGGGUGUGAAAAUUCUGGGCUCAACCCAGAGACGCCACCCGAUACUGCUUAACUUGAGUUCGAUAGGGGAGUGGGGAAUUCCUAGUGUAGCGGUGAAAUGCGCAGAUAUUAGGAGGAACACCGGUGGCGAAGGCGCCACUCUGGAUCGAUACUGACGCUGAGGAACGAAAGCAUGGGUAGCAAACAGGAUUAGAUACCCUGGUAGUCCAUGCCGUAAACGGUGGGCACUAGGUGUGGGUUUCUAUUAACGAAAUCCGCGCCGUCGCUAACGCAUUAAGUGCCCCGCCUGGGGAGUCGGUCGCAAGCUAAACUCAAAGGAUUGACGGCNGAGAGUGCGAGACGACGACGAGGAGAG
rnacentral:rRNA from 1 species